CCUACGGGCGGCAGCAGUGAGGAAUAUUGGUCAAUGGGCGGAAGCCUGAACCAGCCAAGUCGCGUGAGGGAAUAAGGCCCUACGGGUCGUAAACCUCUUUUGCCGGGGAGCAAGGGCCGGGACGAGUCCCGGUCCGGAGAGUACCCGGAGAAAAAGCAUCGGCUAACUCCGUGCCAGCAGCCGCGGUAAUACGGAGGAUGCGAGCGUUAUCCGGAUUUAUUGGGUUUAAAGGGUGCGUAGGCGGGCGUUUAAGUCAGCGGUAAAAAUUCGGGGCUCAACCCCGUCCGGCCGUUGAAACUGGGUGCAUUGAGUGGGCGAGAGGAAGGCGGAAUGCGUGGUGUAGCGGUGAAAUGCAUAGAUAUCACGCAGAACCCCGAUUGCGAAGGCAGCCUUCCGGCGCCCUACUGACGCUGAGGCACGAAAGUGCGGGUAUCGAACAGGAUUAGAUACCCUUGUAGUC
rnacentral:rRNA from 1 species